CACGGUUGAACGAUGUGACGGU
rnacentral:miRNA from 1 species